UACAUGUGGGGCAAGCGUUGUUCGGAAUUACUGGGCGUAAAGAGUUCGUAGGCGGUUUGUCGCGUCGUUCGUGAAAACUUGGGGCUUAACUCCAAGCGUGCGGGCGAUACGGGCAGACUUGAGUACUACAGGGGAGACUGGAAUUCCUGGUGUAGCGGUGAAAUGCGCAGAUAAUCAGGAGGAACACCGGUGGCGAAGGCGGGUCUCUGGGUAGUAACUGACGCUGAGGAACGAAAGCGUGGGUAGCGAACAGGA
rnacentral:rRNA from 1 species